rnacentral:rRNA from 1 species
UACGUAGGUGGCGAGCGUUAUCCGGAAUUAUUGGGCGUAAAGAGCUCGUAGGCGGUGUGUCGCGUCGGCCGUGAAAACCUGCAGCUUAACUGUGGGCUUGCGGUCGAUACGGGCAUCACUGGAGUUCGGCAGGGGAGACUGGAAUUCCUGGUGUAGCGGUGAAAUGCGCAGAUAUCAGGAGGAACACCGGUGGCGAAGGCGGGUCUCUGGGCCGAUACUGACGCUGAGGAGCGAAAGCGUGGGGAGCGAACAGG